rnacentral:lncRNA from 1 species
AGAAAUGCCACCCCUCAUCCUGAACUCCAUGCACUGAAACAUUCAUCACCACCCUCGCCAUCUUUUCUAUCAGCCUGUUCAAAAGUUCCAGAUGGCUCUUCAAUGACUCUGUCUUCACAUUUGACCAUAUGUUAAUUGAUUCAAUAUAUGCCUGUAUUACAGAUCCAAGCAAAGUCUAUGUUGCCUUCACCAGUGUUCAGAUACACCUGGAUGGAGUCUCACUCUGUUGCCAGGCUAGAGUGCAGUGGCAUGAUCUUGGCUCACUGCAGCCUCUUCCUCCUGGGUUCAAGCGAUUACCCUGCCUCAGCCUCCCGAGUAGCUGGGACUACAGGUGCCCGCCACCACGCCCAGCUAAUUUUUGUAUUUUUUUUUUAGUAGAGAGGGGGUUUCACCAUGAUGGCCAGAUGGUCUGGAUCUCUUGACGUCAUGAUCCUCUGGAUCUCUUGACGUCAUGAUCCACCGGCCUCGGCCUCCCAAAGGGCUGGGAUUACAGGCAUGAGCCACCAUGCCCGGCCUCUUUUUACUUUUUAAUUGUGGCUACCAGUUUGAAAUUACAUAUGUGACUUAUAGCAGCAAUACAGCGGGAUAAAUGGAAAGUAUCUAGUUAUUCUAGAUUAAAUAAUCGAUCCCUUUUCCACUAAAUUUAAUGGCCAUCUUUUACCUAUAUUAAAUUACUUUAUUAA